rnacentral:rRNA from 1 species
AGUGAACGCUGGCGGUAGGCCUAACACAUGCAAGUCGAACGGCAGCACAGUAAGAGCUUGCUCUUACGGGUGGCGAGUGGCGGACGGGUGAGGAAUACAUCGGAAUCUACUUUUUCGUGGGGGAUAACGUAGGGAAACUUACGCUAAUACCGCAUACGACCUACGGGUGAAAGCAGGGGAUCUUCGGACCUUGCGCGAUUGAAUGAGCCGAUGUCGGAUUAGCUAGUUGGCGGGGUAAAGGCCCACCAAGGCGACGAUCCGUAGCUGGUCUGAGAGGAUGAUCAGCCACACUGGAACUGAGACACGGUCCAGACUCCUACGGGAGGCAGCAGUGGGGAAUAUUGGACAAUGGGCGCAAGCCUGAUCCAGCCAUACCGCGUGGGUGAAGAAGGCCUUCGGGCUGUAAAGCCCUUUUGUUGGGAAAGAAAAGCAGCAGGUUAAUACCCCGCUGUUCUGACGGUACCAAAAGAAUAAGCACCGGCUAACUUCGUG